UACGGGGGGAGCAAGCGUUGUUCGGAUUUACUGGGCGUAAAGGGCGCGUAGGCGGUCAGCACAAGUCAGUUGUGAAAUCUCCGGGCUUAACUCGGAAAGGUCAACUGAUACUGUGCGACUAGAGUGCAGAAGGGGCAACUGGAAUUCUCGGUGUAGCGGUGAAAUGCGUAGAUAUCGAGAGGAACACCUGCGGCGAAGGCGGGUUGCUGGGCUGACACUGACGCUGAGGCGUGAAAGCCAGGGGAGCGAACGGG
rnacentral:rRNA from 1 species